rnacentral:rRNA from 1 species
GAUGAACGCUGGCGGCGUGCCUAAUACAUGCAAGUCGAGCGAAGCGGGGACGGGUGAGUAACACGUGGAUAACACCCUUUAUGACUGGGAUAAAUUCGGGAAACCGGAGCUAAUCCGGAUUCUUAUAGCUGGAUCUACGCUGCAUUAGCUAGUUGGUAAGGUAACGGCUUACCAAGGCAACGAUGCAUAGCCGACCGGAGAGGGUGAUCGGCCACACUGGAACUGAGACACGGUCCAGACUCCUACGGGAGGCAGCAGUAGGGAAUCUUCCGCAAUGGGCGAAAGCCUGACGGAGCAACGCCGCGUGAGUGAAGAAGGUCUUCGGAUCGUAAAACUCUGUUAUUAGGGAAGCGGUACCUAAUCAGAAAGCCACGGCUAACUACGUGCCAGCAGCCGCGGUAAUAC